GGCUCAGGACGAACGCUGGCGGCGUGCCUAAUACAUGCAAGUCGAGCGGAUAGAUGGGAGCUUGCUCCCUGAUGUUAGCGGCGGACGGGUGAGUAACACGUGGGUAACCUGCCUGUAAGACUGGGAUAACUCCGGGAAACCGGGGCUAAUACCGGAUGGUUGUUUGAACCGCAUGGUUCAAACAUAAAAGGUGGCUUCGGCUACCACUUACAGAUGGACCCGCGGCGCAUUAGCUAGUUGGUGAGGUAACGGCUCACCAAGGCAACGAUGCGUAGCCGACCUGAGAGGGUGAUCGGCCACACUGGGACUGAGACACGGCCCAGACUCCUACGGGAGGCAGCAGUAGGGAAUUUUCCGCAAUGGACGAAAGUCUGACGGAGCAACGCCGCGUGAGUGAUGAAGGUUUUCGGAUCGUAAAGCUCUGUUGUUAGGGAAGAACAAGUACCGUUCGAAUAGGGCGGUACCUUGACGGUACCUAACCAGAAAGCCACGGCUAACUACGUGCCAGCAGCCGCGGUAAUACGUAGGUGGCAAGCGUUGUCCGGAAUUAUUGGGCGUAAAGGGCUCGCAGGCGGUUUCUUAAGUCUGAUGUGAAAGCCCCCGGCUCAACCGGGGAGGGUCAUUGGAAACUGGGGAACUUGAGUGCAGAAGAGGAGAGUGGAAUUCCACGUGUAGCGGUGAAAUGCGUAGAGAUGUGGAGGAACACCAGUGGCGAAGGCGACUCUCUCUAGU
rnacentral:rRNA from 2 species